AGAACAGCCCCUCCUCCGGAAUCACAGGACCCCUGACUUGGCAAAUUUAUCCAAGGGCACCCUGACUCCUCUGCCACGUGGAUUGUUGGUUCCAGCGAUGAGCAGCCCAAUGAACAGUGAUGUCAGACUGUUUGGGUCCAGAUCAUUCCUGAGCCAUGAAACAGUUAAGAAAUAUCCUGCCCCACUGGCUGCCGUGCUCAUAAAGGCAAACCAACGUGUACUUCCUUGUGGCUCCAAGACGCGCUGGCUCACUUAUUUGCUCACACCCAGCACAUCCAGCAGGCAGAGAAGGCAGCAGCAGGCAGGACCGCCACCCUCCCAUGCAAAUCACCCCCAGGAGUGCAGCUGGGCUCCUCCCGCUCCUCCUGGGCAAUGCUCCUGGGGCGUCUGUGGGGAAGAUGCCAUCCCGGGCGCUGUGCACUCUUCCUCAUCCUUGCCAUCCUGCUCGACACAGUCGGCCUGGUCCUUUUGCUUCUGGGGAUCUUGGCCUCCCUGAGUUACUGGGACUUCCUUGUCUACACAGGCGCCCUGAUCCUGGCUUUCAGCCUUCUGCUCUGGAUCAUCUGGUAUUCCUGCAACAUUGAGGUGUGCCCGGAGAAACUGGACCUGUAGUUUGGCCAUGGGAAGAGGAAGAGAGAUGCAGGUGCUGUAUGCAGACAUGUCUGUGAACCUCGGGCUCCUGGGCACCAGCACAUUGCAGCUUCUACCUAGCAAGCCCCGCCAGGACCAGGUCCCAGCUGAUGAAGGAGAAUCAAUUCAAGGAGAUGCGCUCUCUUUAUAGCACACCCUUUAACAGCAUCCAGGAGGAACAAGAAGCUGCAAUGCGGAGGCUUUCAAAGUGUUCACAAGGAUGCCCAAGAAUGGUCGUGUUGCCAGGUUUCUGGCAGGUUCCAGGCUCCAUCACGAGCCCAGCAUCCCUGCACCAAAUCUGACAUCGUUGCUGCUGUCCCAGCUGUCUAUGAAGAGCCUGAGUAGCUAUCAAGUUGUUAGGACAGCAGCUCUGCAGGGGGCUUAGACACCAAAAGAGAAGUCUCAUCCUCUGCAGUUCUUGUCAAUGUCCUGAUGUCAGUGUCAAAACGCUGAGAACCAAGCACAAGCACCAAAGUCCAAAUGGGAUCUCCUGCGAGCACAUAUCAAGCAGUAUUGUUGCUGUUUCUCCUCAUUGGCUCUUUGAACAGACUGUGUGGGCUCCUGGAAGCCUCCACUGUAUCUAGCCUUUGAUACUGUCCAGUUGGCACAUGGUGACAUAUUCCAACGUGUUGAUUGCAAAUGUGAAUGUACAGCCAAUGCUGUGUGUGGGAGGACUCUCUCCUCCUCAGUGGGGGCCCCACUUGUUUGCACAGCCUGGCCAUGCAGUGGCUCAUAUUGAGCUUUUAACCAACUGAAACCUCCUGCACGUUUUUCUGACAAGCCGGCAAGGCCUCUGCUAUGCUGUCCUUGUGUCAUUCAUUUUAACAGUCCUUAAGGGCAGGAUUGUUUUUAUCUUAAGUUACGUCUGGCCAAGUACAGCCCAAGGACAGCAACUCUGAGGGUCAAGCCUGAUAGGCUAACCAGAUAGAUACGCUCGGCUUCGUCAUCCACCGGAGCCUUACUGCCUCACUAAUUUAUAUUUCCCCUGGUCUAAUGUUGUAUUUUUUUAUUUAUAUUUCAACCUUAGAGUAUAUGUGUGUCUUAUAAGCUGCCUCUGAUCUUUCAUGGUAUGAGGUGGUUACCUAAAUAAAGAAGUAGAUUUGGUCUUUGUUUUCAUGUAACAGGACAUA